UACUGGAGUGUGUUGCCAUGCCCCUCUCCAGGAGAUCUUCCCGAUCCAGGGAUCAUACCCACAUCUCUUAUGUCUCCUGUGUUGGCAGGCAGGUUCUUUACCACUAGCACCACCUGAGAAGUCUGUACUUUCCCUGGCUUUUCCCAAGCAUUUGCUCUGAUGAAGAAGAAGCCACCCUAGCAAGAAACCAAGGGCAGCCUCCAACCAACAGCCAACUAAGGACUUUGGUCCAGUAGCCCAGAAAGAACUUAGUCCUGCCUAACAACCACAAAGUGAACUGGGAAGCACUUCUUGCCCCAGCUGAAUCUUGAGAUGUCCCCAUCUCUGGCUGCCAUCCGAUUGCAGCCUUCUGAGAGACCCUGUAGGAAAAGGCCCAGCAAAGCCGUGGCCCAAAGCCUGACCUGCAGACCAUGGGAGGUAGGAAAGCAAGAUAUCAGUUGGAAGUAAGAACUGGGAAAAGAGGUUUGAAGAAAGUGGAGAAAUUGUGAAAACAGAUAUCUUAGAGUGGAGCUGGGGAAUUCGAUGAAGUAGUUCUAGGCAUCAGUUUCAGACACAAAAACGUGAGGAGGAAUAAGACUAUCUUCUUUGUCCCUUCUUAAGAGCCUGGAAGCAUUUCCUUGAAGCUCCCAGCCAAUUGCCUAUGAGUAAGAAUUAACAUCCGGCCUGGAGCUCCACAGAGAUUUAGACCUACCUGGGAUCUUCCUUCUCACAACACUGUUUCCUUGGCCACUGUCAUGUUAAGCUAGAGAGGAAUGCUUUGUGCUGGAAGCUAUCUGCCUGUUUUCUGUGAAAUCCCUGGUCUGUGGAAUGCACCUGUGGAGGGAGAGCUCUAAGCUGCCAUCCAGAGAGAAACUGGUGAGAAGCCAAUCAAAUGAAUCCAUGCACCUGGAACUUCCCGUACGUGACCCGGGUAGGUUCUAGGGGCCAAGAGGCUGUGUGUGUUGGUGGUCCCUGAACUUGUGGAUGGCAUGAAGGUACUGUGCACUCAAUACUCCUCUCUUCAUCUCUCUGUAAAGUUUUAAAAAAUGAAGUAUUAGAAUAAAGUCUACUCUGUGAGUUUGAUUGACAAUCAAAACCCAAGCUACUGCUGAUACGGGAAAGCAUGGCAUUUGAACAGGAUUGGCAUUUGAAUCCUUAGCUCGAUUUGUGUCUUCCUGUGUCAUGGCCAGAAUUGGCUCACAGACCCAUUUACUGGCAAACCGAUUAACAGCAAAGGAAAUGAGACCACAGUGAUUGCAUGGACUAAUUGCAACUCACCCUGGGGUGUAUGGCUAAGUGGGGAACGCUCCUGAAAGCCCACAGCUUUGUAUGUGUGGGACAUACUGAACAAAACAAAGGUUAUGUUAGGAAGAAGGGAGGACAGGUACCAAGGGCUGUCGGUGAAAGGAGACUGGGUGGGCAAUCCGUUACCUCUGCUGUGUGUAUUUAGGACAUAAGCACUAUCAGGGUAAAACUGAAUUUUCUCUCAGGUCUCUGUAGCUGUUUGCUGAGAUGGGGAUUAGUGUCAAAAAUCCUUUUCAAUCCUGAAAAGCUGACUAUUUCAUGUUAGGCAUGAAUUAUAUCACUGACCAGAUAUGUAACUCAAGCACCAAACCCACUCUUCCCAUUGUUUCAUAUAAUGGUCAGACUUACAUGAAAUUCACAUCUUAUGGCUUUAAAAAUAUUUUGAAUGCUAAGCCCUAUCAAAUGAUCUCUAUUUAACAUAUUUUUUUGUGACUGUCAUGCAUAAAGUGCUGUAAAGUUACCAAUGUCUGAAGAUUAGUUGAAAAGUUCAUUACAGUACUUCAGUUAUCUUCCUAAAUUUACUUUUUACUCAUUGGUUUUGUUGGGGCCCAGGGUAGGUCACCAGCAUGGGCCUCAAUGGCAUAUUGCUUAUUUUGAAAGUUACCUAAGAAAUGGUCAACAUAAGGAGGGUACCAUGAGAGACGUUCUCUGUCUCCCUGAAACAGGAAUUAAAUCUCUCCUGUGAAAGGUGCCCCCUGACCCCCACCCCACAUCUGGAAGUAGAAGGACACCCCCUAGUAGUCAGAGACAGGAAAUGAGGGCUGAGAGGCCUGUGUUACAAAUAUGUUACUUCUUCAGUUUACUACCUUAAGCCCAAAUUCUGUUUAGGUCCUUUGCUAAUUGAGCAUCCCAAACCUCAAUUUCUUUGUCCUGUCAAUUCCUCACAAAUUUAUAGUUUUUGUCUAAAAAGUAUAAAAGUGCCAACUUUGGCUACUUCCUUUGGUACCGUGUCUAUGAGACCUCUUUCUGUACAAAUUAAAAAAAAAUUUUUCUCCUCUUAA